GUAGGUGAACCUGCGGAAGGAUCAUUACGAAUUGUAGGCCGGUCUGACCGGUUCUAUUCUACCCUGUUUUUUGCGCACCUUCUGUUUCCUCGGUAGGCUUGCCUGCCGAUAGGACAUUUUUAAAACACUUUUUGCAUAAGCAGUCAGCGUCGAAAUACAAAAUAAAUUGUAACAACUUUCAACAACGGAUCUCUUGGUUCUGGCAUCGAUGAAGAACGCAGCAUCUGACUGACUUCAGGUUGCGGAAUCU
rnacentral:misc_RNA from 1 species